rnacentral:rRNA from 1 species
AAUCUUGGUCAAUGGGGGAAACCCCGAUCCAGCCAUCCCGCGAGCAUGAUGAAGGCAUUCGGGUUGUAAAGUACUUUUGGCAGAGAAGUAAAGGCAUCUCCUAAUACGAGAUACUGCUGUCGGUCUCUGCAGAAUAAGCACCGGCUAACUACGUUCCAGCAGCCGUGGUAAUACGUAGGGUGCAAGCGUUAAUCGGAAUUACUGGGCGUAAAGCGUGUGUAGGCGGUUCGGAAAGAAAGAUGUGAAAUCCCAGGGCUCAACCUUGGAACUGCAUUUUUAACUGCCAAGCUAGAGUAUGUCAGAGGGGAGUAGAAUUCCACGUGUAGCAGUGAAAUGCGUAGAUAUGUGGAGGAAUACCGAUGGCGAAGGCAGCCCCCUGGGAUAAUACUGACGCUCAGACACGAAAGCGUGGGGAGCAAACAGG